rnacentral:rRNA from 1 species
UACGUAGGGGGCAAGCGUUGUUCGGAAUCACUGGGCGUAAAGGGAGCGUAGGCGGGAUCGUAAGUUAGGAGUUUAAUUCCCGGGCUUAACCCGGGGCUGGCUUUUAAUACUGCGAUCCUUGAGUAAGGAAGAGGGAGAUGGAAUUUCAGGUGUAGCGGUGGAAUGCGUAGAUAUCUGAAAGAACACCAGCAGCGAAGGCGGUCUCCUGGUACUAUACUGACGCUGAGGCUCGAAAGUUAGGGGAG